rnacentral:rRNA from 1 species
UUCGUACGAAGGUGUCCUGGUGGCGAACGGGUGAGUAUCGCGUUGGUGACCUACCCCAAAGUCUGGGAUAACAGUUCGAAAGGACUGCUAAUACCGGAUGUGGUCAUCGGAUUUAGAAACCGAUGUCUAAAGGAUUUAUUCGCUUUGGGAGGGGCCUGCGUCCCAUCAGCUAGUUGGUAAGGUAACGGCUUACCAAGGCGACGACGGGUAGGGGACCUCAGAGGGUGGCCCCCCACAAUGGAACUGAAACACGGACCAG